rnacentral:rRNA from 1 species
UACAGAGGGGCAAGCGUUGUCCGGAAUUAUUGGGCGUAAAGAGCUCGUAGGCGGUUUGUCGCGUCUGCCGUGAAACCCGAGGCUUAACCUCGUGGCUUGCGGUGGAUACGGGCAGACUAGAGGUAGGUAGGGAGAAUGGAAUUCCCGGUGUAGCGGUGAAAUGCGCAGAUAUCGGGAGGAACACCGGUGGCGAAGGCGGUUCUCUGGGCCUUACCUGACGCUGAGGAGCGAAAGCGUGGGGAGCGAACAGG